GAAGAGGUGACAGAUCAAGAAUGGGCUUGGGAAAGACUUUACCUGAAUUGGGCACUUGGAAGAAAAGGGCAAGCUGAAAACCAAAGAGACAUGGAGAGAAAUAAAAGUUAGGUCCAAAUCUUCACGACCUCAUUCCAAGUCUGACAUUCUAUCCGUUGCACCCCUGGCUGCACCGUCUAUGACAUAAUUCUAUCUAGCUGAACAAUAACAAGCAUGUUCCCUCCCCAAAUCCAGUGAUAUGUCCAUAGAAUCAGUGGCACGAGGAACUCUUCCCAAAUUACUGUUAACCUAAGCAUCUUAUAAAUUGGACAGUGUCACAUCAGGCCAUCUGUUCUCGCCCCAUGCAGACUGAAGUGCUAAAGUGGAUCCUUCUUGCAUGAAAAAAGCCAACACACUGUAUUCAGCAAAGUUAUAUAAGGAACAGAGGAGUUUGAGUUUUAGGAUGAAAAUACGGGAUUAGAUUUUCCACCAGGAAUUGGAGAAGGCCUAAAGAUCCAGGAAAAUAAUUCAAGGAUGACUAGAGAACAUACAACACAUAACUAAUUUGGGGGCCAGACCCUUACCUACAUACCCUAAGUCAAGAAGAUCAGUGACGUGUUCAGGAGUGGAUUGCUCAUGAAUCCUCAAACUCACAACUGCUUAGUUCUUGGUAGGAUCAAAGUCACCUUGGACACCAUCCAGACAUAAAGCAAAGGACCAUCUCACCAUUGAGGACUCUUCAAACUGCCAGGGAUUGUAUGGAAAUGGAGAUUGCAGCUGGGUUUGGACACGAGGUUUUGUUUUGUUUUGUUCACCUCUUAAAUAGGGAUCUGAAAGGAAUAGGCUUCCUUCAAAUAAAAACCGUGUUGUAAAUA